ACAAAUAAUACCUAUUAAUUGAUUAAUUUCUUUUUUUUUUUUUUAUUUGUAUUUUUAAUUUUUAAUAUUAUAAAUUAUUAUAUUUUUAAUAAAAAAAGAUUAAAAUCAAAUAAAAAUAUAAAUUUAAAAUUAAAAAAUUUUAAUUGAAAAUGAUAAGUAAUUUAUUUUCAAUUUUUGAUCCAUCAACAAAUUUAUUUAAUAUUUCAUUUAAUUGAAUUAGAACUAUUUUAGGAAUUAUAUUUAUUCCUUAUUCAUUUUGAUUAAUUCCUAAUCGUCAUUUCUUACUUUGAAAUUUUAUUUUAUUAAAACUUCAUAAUGAAUUUAAAACUUUAUUAAAAAAUAAUUAUUUUCAAGGAUCAACUUUUAUUUUUAUUUCAAUAUUCUCAUUUAUUUUAUUUAAUAAUUUUUUAGGUUUAUUUCCUUAUAUUUUUACUAGAACAAGACAUUUAACAUUAUCAUUAUCAAUUUCAUUACCUUUAUGAUUAAGAUUUAUAAUUUAUGGUUGAUUAAAUAAUUCUCAACAUAUAUUUAUUCAUAUAAUUCCUCAAGGAACACCAACUAUUUUAAUACCUUUUAUAGUAUUAAUUGAAACAAUUAGAAAUAUUAUUCGACCUGGAACUUUAGCAGUACGAUUAACAGCUAAUAUAAUUGCAGGACAUUUACUAAUAACUUUAUUAAGAGGAACUGGACCUUCAAUACCAAGAUAUUUUAUUAUAAUUUUAGUUAUAAUUCAAAUUUUAUUAUUAAUCUUAGAAUCAGCAGUCGCUGUAAUUCAAUCUUAUGUAAUUGCUAUUUUAAGUACUUUAUAUUCUAGAGAAGUAAAUUAAUGAAAAUAAAUUUUAAUCACCCAUUUCAUUUAGUAGAUUAUAGACCAUGACCUUUAACAGGAGCUAUUGGAGUAAUAGUUUUAGUUAGAGGAAUAGUAAAAUGAUUUCAUAAUUUUAAUAUAAAUUUAUUAAUUUUAGGAUAUUUUAUUGUAAUUUUAACCAUAUAUCAAUGAUGACGAGAUAUUUGUCGUGAAGGAACAUACCAAGGUAAACAUACAAUUUUAGUAACCAAAGGACUUCGCUGAGGAAUAAUUUUAUUUAUUGUAUCAGAAAUUUUUUUUUAUUUCUUUUUUUGAGCCUUUUUUCAUAGAAGAUUAGCAUGCAAUUAUAGAAAAUAAUAAUUCUCAAAUAACUCAAGGUUUAUUUAUUACAAUUAUUUUAGGAAUUUAUUUUACAAUUCUUCAAGCAUAUGAAUAUUUUGAAGCUCCUUUUACUAUUGCAGAUAGAGUUUAUGGCUCAACAUUUUUUAUAGCAACAGGAUUCCAUGGAUUACAUGUUAUUAUUGGUACAUUAUUUCUUUUAAUUUGCCUAAUUCGUCAUUUAAAUAAUCAUUUUUCAAGUAAUCAUCAUUUCGGAUUUGAAGCAGCAGCUUGAUAUUGACAUUUUGUAGAUGUAGUAUGAUUAUUCCUUUAUAUUUCUAUUUAUUGAUGAGGAAAUUAAUUA